rnacentral:lncRNA from 1 species
AUGAAAGGAAAUGAAAAAGGAGAGACUGUAGGUAAGAGAGAAUAAAGAUGCCACAGUUUAAAAAAUUUCGCUGCAUUUAACAGAGUAAUAAGACUUAUCAGAGCCAGCAGACAGACAAGCUUUGAUUUUUUAAACAGCUUUCAUAUGCACUGAAAGCAGCGUAAUUGUUCACAUUGUUCUUCAAUAUUUUACUAAACCAUAUACAAGCUGGAUAGCACACCCAUGCCUGACCCUUUUCUAUGAGACUCUUCUCAAACAUUUUUUUUUUAGAAAAAUAUUAUUUUAUUAUCUCUAUUGGCUCCUGCUCUUUCUGCCAUUUAAAAACUUACUAACAGCACAAUAGCUAUCCCUAAGCCUUUAUCCAAAUUUGAUUUGCUGGAACAUUUUCCUCAGUUAUUUUUCAUAAACGAAGCAGUAAUUCCAUAACAUAUUAGUCCAAACACCUGGAAAACUGAGAUAAGCUCAUUUACCAUGCAUUUUUACCAGCAAUUGUUUUUUAACACAAUAGAGUUUUUUCCCCCUGCCUUUGGAAAUCUAAAUCUAGGUCACAUCUGGUAGGCAAAAGACUCCUUCUAAGCAAUUUAUUCACAAAGUGGAAGCGGCUGAUGAUCACACCACUGGCACCCACAUUUAAAAUCUGUUUAAAUGAGAUAACCAGGGUCUUACAGUGGUGGUGGCUGUCUUAGCUCCCCUUUCUCAUGUCUAAAACAUGAGACAUGUUUGUCCCGUUUACUACAAUGUAAUGGAAUGUCAAAUCCAUGUCUGAUGAAAUAUACGUUUCCUCUGCUAAGUGCAUUCAGGAUGAAAAAUAUUAGGAAUGCAAUGUUCAAUUCCCUAAAAAGACUCCUUUGUAAAAGGGCUUGUACUUUUAAAAUCAGAAUGUGAUGAUGCUCUGAGCCACACCACCCUUACUAGGUGACAGGUCAUUCCGAAUGGAGGAAUUUUAUGUCCAAAUUUUCCUCCUUAGAAUUUUCUUUUUGUGUUGGUAAAAAUGUAAUUAAAUCGGAGUGUUUGUAAACCAGCUCUUUCCACUCUGUCAUGAGGUUUUCCACUCCUACGUCACCUGACUCACGAAAACCUUAGUUGUCACUGUGUCUGAGCCCCCAAGACCAGGAGGACAAACUCUAAAAUGAGUUAUCACUGAGAAAGAGGGAGUGCCAGAUAUCACCUUCCAUCUGUUUUUUUGUGUCCUUUGGGAACACGUAAAUGAUGUUUCUUUCCAAAGUUAUUCCUGGUGAGAUUUUAUACAUGAGGCCCUGCAUUCUGAACAUGGCUGUAGUCAUUAGACUGACCCCAGGAAGUGAGUCAAGGUCAGGGAAGAAGCAAAUUGGAAGCUCGUCAGUGUUUCCAUGACAAAGCAUAUUCCAAUCAUUUGAGAGCCGCAACAGCAGCAGCCAUGAUGCAAAAAACACACCUUAUGAAAUAAAAACCCUUCUGAAGAAGCCUCUACAGGUCAAUUUUAUUUCUGACAAUGUCGAGAAUAAGUCCUGCUAUUUUGAUUCAAUGAAUAUCCCUCAAACUAGUUGUUCAGUUAAAUCUUUAAGGUAUUAAUGUUAAUUAUCCUUUAUGGUAAUUACAUCUGAAAUACACCACUCCAAUAUUCUAUUGGAACAUAUCACCAGGUGGCUGACUGGGAGGAAAUUGUCACAUUAAACAAAUUGCUAAGAAAAACCUAAAGAUAAAAUGUGUAUGUGGAUAAACAAAAUUUUUUUAAGUUAAAUAAGCAAUCUAUACAAAAAGAAGUAACAUUUGAAAUUCACGAAACUGAAAAAAGUCUGUUUUUCCAUUUUGAUUUUGUGUCCAAUUAAAACAAAUUUUUAAAAUAAAAUCAAAUUGGUUUUAUUCUUCCAAAUGUUGACAUACUGGAAAGCCAUUCCAUUUAUCUCACUAGUUAUAGAUAGCUGGCUCUCCAUGUAUAUUUCCUAAAUAGAUGAGUUAAGGUAUGUUUUGUAACUAAGUUAUGUCACUAAAUGCAACACUUGGGAAAAAAUGUUUAGAAAAACUUAUUUACCUUAAGACAUUUUAAUAUAAAAAUAGCACACAUGUAAUGCAUACAUUGUGAACACUCAGUAGAGGAGGGUCUGGCUCUGUGGGAACUGAUGAAUGACUAUUCUGCUUUGGGCCAAGGAGGGGUGGUUACCUGCAGCCUUUCAUCCCCUUUAGGAAGCAGCAUGCACAUUGCUAUGCAGCCUGUGGAAGCUCAGUAUUAUCAUUUCUUAGCACUGACUUUUAACUCAUUUCACAUUGCAGGUCAAGGGAAUGAAAUGUUCUAUCUUGGCCUGACACAGUUGCAACGUGAUGACGGUAGCAACCACGCUAAAUGGGACAGUGACUCAGAAAAGGUGGGAGGGCUGCCUGGGAGUGGCCAUCCGGUUGAGUCGGGUGUUUGGGUUUAGGACUCUGCAGAAGCAUCAGUGUAAACACAAACAGCCCUCGGAUAACCUGAUGGGUGGGUGUCACUGACUCCAGACCCCUUGCCCAGGAAGUUCCUGCUUUCCUGCCUGUGCCCUGUCCCUCUAUCCCUGCCUGAAAUGAACAUCUUUAGGCUCUCCUUAAAUAGGAUGCUCCUCUCUCCUCUUUUAUUGCUUUGGGAACAUGUGGUUCUGGUUAUGACCUGUCAGCGGGCCUUGGACAGGGGAUAUUUUUGACAGAACAUGGUUGCAACUGAUGGUUGUUUAUUUUUCCUCACCCAAAUCUAUGAAUUUAACAGUAUAAUUUCUAAACUGCUUGGCAAAAGAGUUGUUUUCAUUCUAUUUCCCCCUCGGUCUUGUUAUUUUCUUGCCAGGUUUCUCAUGGUAUAAACUUUUCCUUUUUUUCGUAUAAAUUUUAAUUGCUUAUUAAAAGGCAUUUUCUCUUCUUGUGUGUAUUCUGUUAGGACAGCAGUGUGCAUUUAGUUCCUUUUGAAGAGAAUAAACUUGCAUGUGUCCAUUUAUCAGUGGAUAUUAUCUAGGCCUGCUACUGUAUCGUAUUCAUUGCACUGGUGAAUAAGCUAAAUAUUACAGGGAGAUUAAGAGACUGCUAAAAUCAUAGAGCAUAAUCCUCACAGAUGCCCAGUCUACUGACUCCUAGUGAUAACGCUGGUUAUUAUUUUUAUAAUGGCCAAGAAAAUAAAAAAGAGUGGUAUUCCAGUCAAAUUGCAUUAAGAUUUCAGUUAUAACAUCUAGUAUGUAAAACAAACAAACAAACAAACAAACAAAAAAACUCAAAACAAAUGGAAUGAUUAACCAAUGCAGUAUUUAGCUGGUUUUCAACUUGGCAGAAAACAAUUCCACUUUGGCCCAGUGUUCAACAUUAAAUUAAAUAACAGCAGCAAGCCAGGCUGAGAACACGAUGUACUCAGCCACUGGCUUGAGGUCUGGGCCCAAUUUUGACUACUGAACUGGCUGCACAAAUUUUCCCAGAAGAUCCAAGGGUACAAGCCCAGAAGGCCAUGAAGGCUGUCAGUGGUGCCCAGAGCUACUGACCAUGCUGCCCACAGCACGGGCUGCUUUCACCCCGAGUGAACGGGAAGCUUUCCCAAAGGGAGGGGAGUGGCAGGGUUAGGAAGAGCCGCAGGGACAGCUCAGCUGCAGAACUUUGCACGGUGGUGACUAGUACGAGGUUGACCUUGAAUGUGGAGGAAAAAAAUCCAGCAAUAUUCUUCAUUUAUUCAACAAGCAUUUAUUGAGUAGCUAACUGCUUGCCAAGCACUGUUUAAGGAAUACAGUGGUGAGCAGAUGGACAAAACAAAAACUUCUGACCUCAUGGAACUUAAAUCCUUGUGGGGAAGACAGACACCAAGCGAUCCAAUUUCCAUCAUUGAUUGCACUAUUUGAAAAGAUCCUUUUAUACAAUGAAGAGGCAAACGUGGUGGAAUCAAAUCCUCAUUUAUGACUAGCCCCAGUAUGUAGAGAUUGGAAGACACUCUGAAUUGUAAAGGAAUUUAAAGUAUAUUGAUCAACUGCCUGGGUGCUACUAAAUAAGAUAGGAAGGAAGAAAACUAAUCUUUUUGAAGACCUACUUUAUAUGCUGGGUAACUUAUAUAAUUUUUAUUUAAUAUUAUACCAUGAAGUAUAAUUAAUACCAGUUUACAAAUGAGGAAACUGAAGCAACAGAAGCCAUCAAGAUAAACAGCUUGUCCUAAGUCAGUGAAAGAGAAGGAAUGGUGCUAUACUCUGAACCCAGGGUGUCUGACUGUGAAGCUGACUCCUAUUUCAUUGCACUACAGCAUUCCCCAAUAUAAUACAGAAAACUCAAGUGGUUAUUGCUCAUGCUAUGGAAUACAAGACUCAAGUUAAAAGUGAUCUUGGUCAGUUGUAAAGAGGAGGGCCUAACAAAAGAAUGAAAAAGGAAAGAAUGAAAAAGGAAAGAAUGAACAAUUCAAUAAGGAACUAAUAAUUCCGAAAGAAAAACAAGAGGAGAAAGGACUUCCUGGCCAAAGUGCAGAAAAGAAAGAUCUGGUAAUAUGAUCAAUACAAUUCUGAAAUGUAUGAGAGUAAUGGCAUGCACAUAAUCCUGGAGCAUGAUAUACUAGUCAUCAUGUGGAUGAGGAAAAGGAAUCAAAGAAAAGAAGCACAAAUGAUCAACGAGGUAAAAAAGAAGGACUACGAAGAAGGAUAAAAGGAACUAGGGUCAUUUAUCUAAUGCAGGAGAAGGCAAGCAGGUGACCUGCCAUCGGAGCUUCCCAAGAGUAAAGAUCAUUUCUUACCACCUUUGCUGUCUAGUGAUUAACAGUCUCUUUAACACGGUGGGCAUUUGACAAGCCUUUACUGAACGGAUAUUGUAAAAGACACAAGAAGCAUUUGUAAAGAGAACAAUAACCAUGAGUGGUCUGUGUAUAGAUGGAGAAAAAUAUUUUUGAACAUAUAAGUGUAAAAGCAGGAGUUCAAGUUUGUACAGAGAAAGGCUGAGAGAGGCUUUCCCCUGUCUAUGCACAAUGUAGUCAGUAUUCAGUAAAAGAGCAAGUAAAUGAAUUUUGGUUGUAUUCAGUCCAUGAAACUGGAAUAAAUUACAAAGGAGGUUUAUUCCGCCCUUGGGUUAAAGAAUUGUCAUCUGACACUAGAGAGGUCAGUUAUUACUGUCCUUCCCAAUCUCUAACAAGUCUAAAAAUGCUACAUAUUUUUUUCUUUAUUCUCACUGCCAUCUAUUUCUCUUCUGGAUUUUUAUGCCUGACUCCCAAGUAGAUACCUUAGCCAGUGUCUUUGACAUAGUGCAGCCGUAUGGAUCUUCCUAAAUAAUAGCUCCAAUCAAGUCACUCUUUCAUUUAAAAAAACAAAAUCAAAUCCAAGAGCUUCUAAAUGAUUAUUUCAAAAGGCCUUCCAUGAGCUAACUCCAACCCCCUUUCCUAAUAUUAUGCCACCCUCCUUUCUGAAAUACACCAAACGGAAAUGCCCAGUUUCCCCAAACCCUCAAUAUUUCCCUUCCCAAGGCCUUUGCUCCUGCUGCAUAGGAGCUUUCCCUACUCAAUUUGUGUAGGUUCAAAUCCUAUCCAUCUUCAAAGGCCACACAUUCCAACUACUGCUCCUAAUUGCUUUGCAGAAAAGUAUUCUCUCUCCUGCUGAACUCCUAGAGCACCUUGCUUGUCCCCUCUUGCACAGAACUUAACUAUUUUCAAACUCAAGUUCAGUUAUUUUGGUAAAUCUUUAUGUCAUACACUAAACAUAAAUUCCUUGAGACAAAAGUAGUCUUACUCAUCUUUGUGGCCCUCACAUGCUAAGAAAGAAGGAAGAUGUUUGAACAUGAGCUCCACUGAGGAUGCCAAGAGAUGGCCAGGAAGAAAAGAAGGGUUUUUCUUAGUAUGGUGAUGACAGAUGAGAGUCUACUGUGGUUUGAAUGUCCUCUGCAAAAUUCAUGUUGCAAAUUUAGUUGCCAUUGUAAGAGUCAGUAUUAAGAGGUGGAGUCCUUAAGAGAUGAUUAAGUCAUGAGGUCAGAGUUCUCAUGAAUGGAUUAAUGUCAUUAUUGUGGAAGUGGGUUUCUGAUAAAAGGAUGAGUUUGGUCUGAUUUCUCCUCUCUGUCUCUCUUGCUUGCUUCUGCCUUCUGUCAUGAGAUGACCCUACCAGAUACCAGCAAAAUGCUCUUGGAUUGCCCAGCCUCCAGAACCAUGAGUCAAAUAAAUUUUUAUUGUUUAUAAAUGA